UGGCGAACGGGUGAGUAAUAUAUCGGAACGUGCCCAGUCGUGGGGGAUAACGUAGGGAAACUUACGCUAAUACCGCAUACGAUCUGAGGAUGAAAGCGGCGGACCGCAAGGCGUCGCGCGAUUGGAUGAGCCGAUAUCCGAUUAGCUAGUUGGUGGGGUAAUGGCCCACCAAGGCGACGAUCGGUAGCUGGUCUGAGAGGAUGAUCAGCCACACUGGAACUGAGACACGGUCCAGACUCCUACGGGAGGCAGCAGUGGGGAAUAUUGGACAAUGGGCGCAAGCCUGAUCCAGCAAUGCCGCGUGCAGGAAGAAGGCCUUCGGGUUGUAAACUGCUUUUGUACGGAACGAAAAGGUCCCUUCUAAUAAAGGGGGCCCAUGACGGUACCGUAAGAAUAAGCACCGGCUAACUACGUGCCAGCAGCCGCGGUAAUACGUAGGGUGCGAGCGUUAAUCGGAAUUACUGGGCGUAAAGCGUGCGCAGGCGGUUCUAUAAGACAGAUGUGAAAUCCCCGGGCUCAACCUGGGAAUGGCAUUUGUGA
rnacentral:rRNA from 1 species